rnacentral:rRNA from 11 species
UGUGACAAUUAACAUUUCCUAAAUUCACCAGACCUCUUCUGAUCUUGGAAACUAAGCAGGGAGAGCCAUAGUCAGUCCUUGGAUGGGUGACCAUGAGUGAAUAGUAGGUGCUGUAGGCU